UAUACAUAAAGAUAAGCGUAAAGUGUACUCGUAAUAAAUGAUCUAAACAAGGUAACGCAACAAAAGAAAUAGCGAACUUAACGAAUUGUUCUCUUUCUCUUAAAAGUAGAAGGAGCAAAUUUCUAAGCAAACACUUACUGCAUAACCUACACGCAUUAGAAAAGGAUAGCUAGAACCUUCGUUAAGUAACUCUUUUCGCUCGCGGUGAAAAUUGGAUAAGAAUAAUUUUCACUUCCUAUAUAUUUCUGACGGUGGCCUUUCAAACAAUUUCUAGUGCACGACUGUAACUUUGCGCCAAAAAAAACUUGGGAGUACCCAAGGUUCGUUGACAUUUCUUGUUGAAGUUAGGCAACGAUCCACAUAUCAGGCAUCGGCAUGAAGUUGUCGCACGAUUCAAAUUUUUCACAGGAAACGUACAUCGUACAUACGUCAUCAAGUAUCCCGAAAUGGACACCGUGCAACGCGAACGAUCGCCGUGUUUCGCGUAAAUUAUUCGUUCGACGUGUAUCACGAGUGUCACGUGAAGUGUCAAACGAUUACCCGUAUUGUGUUAGUUCAAUCCGCGAGUGAAUAAACAUGGAAAGAGAGGAGCAGAGACUCCGACCGGGUGACAUUUCACCGGCUCGGGACAAUUCAAGUCCACUUUUCGCGCAAUCGUGUAUGUGAUGUAUUAUGAUUGUAUUGUGGUGUAUUGUGAUCAAAACGCGAGUGUUCGAAGCAACGACGAGGUAAUCCAACGCUGUCGACGUUCCUUGGAAAAGAAUAGCGAGAUGCGUCAAGUACUUUCGUUUCUUCCACUUGAGAUGCAGAUAAAUAGGAGCCAUCUGUCAUCUAUCAUCUCCAUUCGCCGCCAUUUACCGUGGGAAAUUGAAAAAGAGUUUCAACCAUAACGCGCGUCGCAGUUUAAGGCCGAGCGCGGCGCCGCUACAAAUCCUUCGAGCUGAAUUUACGAUUUUAAUUCGGGAUAGUCACCGAGAUGAGUUCAAGCGGAUCCGUACCAUGUAUCCUGACCAUAUUGCUUUUCAUUAUGGCCCGCGGUGUGCCUUCGGACCACCGACGUCGCUGCAAUUAAAACAACGGCCGCGCUUGAAUAACAUCUCUCGAAGGAUAUUAUAUCGCAUGCG